GCGGAUGUAGCUCAGUUGGUAGAGUACUUGCUUGCCAUGCAAGAUGUCGGGAGUUCGAGUCUCCUCAUCCGCUCC
rnacentral:tRNA from 1 species